rnacentral:tRNA from 1 species
GGGCCCUUAGCUCAGCUGGUCAGAGCAACCGGCUCAUAACCGGUGGGUCGUAGGUUCAAGCCCUACAGGGCCCACCA